CACGUAGUUAGCCGGGGCUUCUUAGUCAGGUACCGUCAUUUUCUUCCCUGCUGAUAGAGCUUUACAUCACGAAUGACUUCUUCACUCACGCGGCGUCGCUGCAUCAGGGUUUCCCCCAUUGUGCAAUAUUCCCCACUGCUGCCUCCCGUAGGAGUUUGGGCCGUGUCUCAGUCCCAAUGUGGCCGUCCGCCCUCUCAGGCCGGCUACCGAUCGUCGCUUUGGUGGGCCUCUACCCCGCCAACUGGCUAAUCGGACGCGGGUCCAUCCCAUACCACCGGAGUUUUUCACACUGCUUCAUGCAAAGCUGUGCGCUUAUGCGGUAUUAGCAGCCGUUUCCGGCUGGUAUCCCCCGGUAUGGGGCAGGUUACCCACGCGUUACUCACCCGUCCGCCACUAACAUAAUUCUCACUAGGUUUCAAAUUAUGUCCGUUCGACUUGCAUGUGUUAGGCACGCCGCCAGCGUUCAUCCUGAGCCAGGAUCAAACUCU
rnacentral:rRNA from 1 species